rfam:Schistosoma margrebowiei strain Zambia genome assembly, scaffold: SMRZ_contig0003763
AUUCAGCCGACGAGUCCCAAGUAGGUCGAAACGCGCUUCCUGCAU